UCCGUUGGUGAACCAGCGGAAGGAUCAUUACCGAGUUGAUUCGGGCUCCGUCCCGAUCCUCCCACCCUUUGUAUACCUACCUCUGUUGCUUUGGCGGGCCGCGGUCUUCCGCGGCCGCCCCCCGAUUUUGGGGGGUGGCUAGUGCCCGCCAGAGGACUAUCAAACUCCAGUCAGUAAACGUUGCAGUCUGAAAAAAAUAUUAAAUAAACUAAAACUUUCAACAACGGAUCUCUUGGUUCUGGCAUCGAUGAAGAACGCAGCGAAAUGCGAUAAGUAAUGUGAAUUGCAGAAUUCAGUGAAUCAUCGAAUCUUUGAACGCACAUUGCGCCCCUUGGUAUUCCGGGGGGCAUGCCUGUUCGAGCGUCAUUUCAACCCUCAAGCUCUGCUUGGUAUUGGGCACCGUCCUUUGCGGGCGCGCCUCAAAGACCUCGGCGGUGGCGUCUUGCCUCAAGCGUAGUAGAAUACACCUCGCUUCGGAGCGUAAGGCGUCGCCCGCCGGACGAACCCUCUGAACUUUUCUCAAGGUUGACCUCGGAUCAGGUAGGGAUACCCGCUGAACUUAAGCAUAUCAAUAAGCGGAGGA
rnacentral:rRNA from 1 species